GUGCGGACGACGGGAGAGGGAGGCAGAAGGAGGACACGCUCGCUCGCUUGCUCGCUCCCACCCGCACCCGGGCUCCUAGAGCCGGCGCGGAGCCCAGGGGGAGGAGCCACUGCGGGCACGCCCCGCCUCUGGCCCGGGAAGACUACGCCAGCGACCCCGCCGGCUGGCCACCGCCCCCCUUGCCGGCCGAGACCCGCCCCCGGCCCUCCCUCGGCGGCAUGGAGGGGACCCGCUCCUGACGGCCGCGCCGCCGCCUCGGCCCCCGCCCCUCCUCCUGGCCCCUCCCUCCCGCCCCCGCUCGCAUGUCCGCGCCGCCUUAGCCGAGGAUGCUGAGGAUGAAGCUGCCGCUGAAGCCGUCGCACCCCGCGGAGCCGCCGCCCGAGGCGGAGGAGCCUGAGGCGGACGCGCGGCCAGGCGCUAAGGCGCCGCCGCGUCGCCGCCGCGACUGCCGACCCCCGCCGCCGCCGCCGCUCUCGGGCCCGCCGCGGGGCCCCCCGCUGCCGCCGCCGCCGCCGCCGCCGCCGCCACCCGGGGGGCUCGGGCAGCCUGUUGCUGGCGGAUCGGCGGCGGGAGCGGGCAUGCCGAGCGGCGGCGGCGGGCCCACGGCGGCGCUGCGCGAGCAGGAGCGGGUGUAUGAGUGGUUCGGGCUGGUGCUGGGCUCGGCGCAGCGCCUGGAGUUCAUGUGCGGGCUGCUGGACCUGUGCAACCCGCUGGAGCUGCGCUUCCUCGGCUCGUGCCUGGAGGACCUGGCGCGCAAGGACUACCACUACCUGCGCGACUCGGAGGCCAAGGCCAACGGUCUCUCGGACCCGGGGCCGCUGGCCGACUUCCGAGAGCCCGCAGUGCGCUCGCGCCUCAUCGUCUACCUGGCGCUGCUGGGUUCCGAGAACCGUGAGGCCGCCGGCCGCCUGCACCGCCUCCUGCCCCAGGUGGACUCGGUGCUUAAGAGCCUGCGCGCGGCCCGGGGCGACGGCUCGCGGGGCGGCGCGGAGGACGAGCCCGGCGAGGACGGCGACAACGAGGAGGACGCCGAGAAGGACGGCUCCGGCCCGGAAGGCGGCGGCGCCGAGCCCCAGCCCUGCGGCGGGCUGGGCUUCAGGGCCCAGGAGGAACUGCUGCUGCUCUUCACCAUGGCCUCGCUGCACCCGGCGUUCUCCUUCCACCAGCGGGUCACCCUGAGGGAGCACCUGGAGAGGCUCCGCGCCGCGCUCCGCGGGAGCCCCGAAGACGGGGAGGCGGAGCUGUGUAACUUUGCCGGCCCCAGGGCCCAGAAUGACUCUGCUCAUGGUGAUUAUAUGCAAAGUAAUGAGGCCAGUUUAAUGGAACAAGCCCUGAUACCUCAUGAUGGACUUACUGUGGCACCUCAUAGAACCCAGCGAGAAGCUGUACACAUUGAGAAGAUAAUGUUGAAAGGAGUCCAGAGAAAAAGGGCUGACAAAUAUUGGGAGUACACCUUCAAAGUAAAUUGGUCUGAUCUUUCAGUCACAACAGUAACAAAAACCCACCAAGAACUACAGGAAUUUCUGCUGAAGCUUCCAAAGGAGUUGUCCUCGGAGACUUUUGACAAGACCAUCUUAAGAGCCCUGAAUCAGGGCUCAUUGAAGAGGGAAGAAUGGCGGCACCCUGACCUGGAGCCCAUCCUGAGGCAGCUAUUUUCAACUUCAUCACGAGCUUUUCUACAGAAUCAGAAAGUACACAGCUUUUUUCAGUCCAUAUCAUCAGACCCUCUACACAGCCUCAAUAACUUACAAUCCUCUCUGAAGACCUCUAAGAUAUUAGAACACUUAAAAGAAGACAGCUCAGAAGCUUCAAGUCAAGAAGAAGAUGUAUUACAGCACACCAUAAUCCACAAGAAACAUACUGGGAAAAAUCCCCUUGUGAACACUAUUGGUACAAGUUGUUCUCCGUUGGAUGGGCUCACCAUGCAGUAUUCUGAACAGAAUGGAAUCAUGGAUUGGAGGAAGCAAACCUGCACCACCAUUCAGCACCCGGAGCACUGUGUGGCCUUAGCUGACCAGCAUUCAACUGAAAAACGAAGUUUAUCUUCAAUAAAUAAGAAAAAAGGAAAGUCACAAAUAGAAAAGGAGAAAAUUAAGAAAACUGACAACAGAUUGAAUAGUAGAAUAAAUGGUAUUCGAAUCUCCGCUCCUCAGCACACCCACGGUGGUUCUGUGAAAGAUGUGAAUUUGGACAUUGGAUCUGGACAUGACACAUGUGGAGAAACAUCUUCAGAGAGUUACAGUUCUCCGUCUAGCCCAAGACAUGAUGGAAGAGAAAGUUUUGAAAGUGAAGAAGAAAAAGACAGAGACACAGACAGCAAUUCUGAGGAUUCUGGAAAUCCAUCCACAACCAGGUUUACAGGUUAUGGUUCUGUCAACCAGACUGUCACUGUCAAGCCACCUGUUCAGAUUGCUUCAUUAGGAAACGACGAUGCAAACCUUUUAGAAGAUCCCUUAAGCUCACCCAAGUAUCAGCAUAUUUCUUUUAUGCCAACUUUACACUGUGUCAUGCACAAUGGUGCCCAGAAGUCUGAGGUGGUCGUUCCUCCACCCAAAUCUGCUGAUGGUAAAACAAUAGGGAUGCUUGUUCCUAGCCCUGUUGCUCUCUCUGCAAUAAGGGAGUCCACGAACUCAACCCCCGUCGGAAUACUAGGGUCAACAGCUUCUACUGCAGAAUCAGAAAAGCACCUUGAAUUACUGGCGUCCCCUUUACCUGUUCCAUCAACAUUCCUUCCACAUAGUAGUACUCCCGCUUUGCACCUCACAAUUCAGAGGCUGAAACUGCCGCCGCCGCAGGGAUCUUCCGAGAGUUGCACGGUGAACCUCUCCCAGCAACCAACCGGGAGUCUGAGCGUCGGAUCACCAAACACUGCCUUUAUUCCUGUUCAUAAUCCAGGUAGUUUUCCAGGAUCUCCUGUUGCUACCACAGACCCCAUCACAAAAUCUGCAUCUCAAGUGGUAGGACUAAGUCAAAUGGUGCCUCAGCUUGAGGGAAACACAGGGACAGCCCCUCAGCCUACCAAUGUGAAGGUAGUUCUUCCAGCAGCCGGCCUCUCGGCCGUACAGCCACCAGCUUCCUACCCCUUGCCAGGCUCUCCCCUUGCUGCCGGGGUGUUACCCAGCCAGAAUUCCACCGUCCUCAGCACGGCGGCACCGUCUGCCCAGUCCACGGGAGCAGGCAUCAGCCAGGCCCAGUCGAGUGUUCCUCCCGCGGUUCCUACCCACACCCCCGGUCCCGCCCCAAGCCCGAGCCCUGCUUUGACACACAGUACUGCGCAGGGCGACAGCACGUCUUACAUCAGUGCUGUGGGAAACACGAACGCCAACGGGACAGUGUUGCCUCCACAGCAGAUGGGCUCAGGUCCUUGUGGUUCUUGUGGGCGAAGGUGCAGCUGUGGGACCAAUGGAAACCUUCAGCUAAAUAGUUACUAUUAUCCUAAUCCAAUGCCUGGACCAAUGUACCGAGUCCCAUCGUUCUUUACUCUGCCAUCCAUCUGCAAUGGCAGCUACCUCAACCAAGCACAUCAGAGCAAUGGAAACCAACUUCCUUUUUUUCUGCCUCAGACUCCAUAUGCAAAUGGACUGGUGCAUGACCCAGUCCAAGCCAACUAUGGCAUGCAGCAGAUGGCAGGAUUCGGGAGGUUCUAUCCUGUGUAUCCAGCACCUAAUGUAGUCGCCAGCACGAGUGGUUCGGGGCCCAAGAAGAAUGGGAACGUUUCAUGUUACAACUGUGGUGUGAGCGGGCACUAUGCACAGGAGUGUAAGCAGUCGUCCAUGGAGGCCAGUCAACAAGGCACUUACAGACUGAGAUACGCACCUCCCCUCCCCCCUUCUAAUGAUACGUUGGAUUCUGCAGACUGAAACAAGUAGCAUCUAGUACUUGAGCACCACCAUCCAUUUGAGCUUGGAGGACACCUUUUUUCAAUUCUACAUUCUGAUUACAAAAACAUUUAAGGUUAAGGCAGUGAAACCAAAUGGAGCUCCGACUUGAUCCACUGUAAAAGGUCUCCCUCGGCCAGCCUCUCCCCAAAAGAAAUUGCUAAUUGGGAAGCAGCGCCGCCUGGUGGGGGACGAGGACAAUGCAAGCAAGCGGACGUCAUUGCCCACUUGACCUGAUGUAGAGAAAAUUGAACGUAAGGCAGAAAACAUUUGAGAUUGUAAACCUGUGCUCAAAACCUUAAAGAAUGCAGGCAACUGGCCAUAAAAGUAAUUUGAGCGGUCUCCUCUUUCAGACAUUGCAAUCUCAGUUUGUUAUAAACAUCUUAAACGCAUUGAUGGUACUUUAGAGUUUCCUUUGCACUUUUCUCUGGGCUCAUUGGCCUGCACAACUGUGAAGGGUAUGGGGUCUCCCUCCUCCCUAUUUUACAGACUAGGAACUCAGGGUUCAGAGGGGUUAAGUGCCACAGACAUGCCACCAGUGAUGAAGGCCAGGCCCCAACUUCAGAUUAGUGCUUACCUCCUGCCCCACUUCCUGGCCUGCAACUGCUUCUUCACUGACCCCAGGGCAAUGACCUUUUAAACCGUAUAAAGCGAUAGGCACCCAUGGUCUUAAGAACCAUGGGGCCUCUGGGUUCCUGAGAGAGGAGUGGGCUGGGUCCUGGUCAGUCAGAAUGUCUCUUUUCUUUAUCUCUGUUGAAGGGGUGAGGGAAAGUUUGCAGAACUGGGAGACCUCAGUACUUUUAGAACUAGGCUUUCGGCGUUUGCCUGUCUCAGAUGAAUUCAAGGAGCAGCAGCUGUUGCCUACAUCCAAGGUUUGAAACAUGCAGCAGUAUGCUCUGUUGGAACACUGAAUCUUGCUCUGCAAAGGUUUUUAUUGUCCCCAGAUGUCUCGGUGACUCUUGAGCAUUUGGUGGCCAGUCCAUAAUUUUAAGCCUUCAGAAGUUAAGAAGUGCAGUAGCAGGGCACACAGGAAAGAUACUUCACUGCUGCUAUUUGAAAAGCUCUGACCGUUAUAUAUAGAUUUUCCCAAGCACUCCCUCUACCCGCCACCACUACUCAAAGACACUCCAAAGACCAAAAAUGACAGAGGCAAAGUCACCUUCAAGCAGGAACGGUGACAGUCACACCCGCCCCAAAAGCCUUUCUGGAUGUUAAGAAUGCCACCAGGUCACCUAGUACUCGGUGCUCAUUCUUGCUAGCGUAUCAGGGUUGGGUAUUUGUGACAUGGUAACUCACUUUUGCAUUGGAAGCCUCCAUCAGAUGGACUUGUACAAAGAGGUGGCGCUGGUAAAGCCUUAUUUUCAGCACCCACCCACAGUACGCAUGACCUUUCUCAGGCUCAUUUACAGAAUGGGGAUAACAUCCACUUUGUUAGAAUAGUUAUAAGGAUUGAAUCUGACAAAAUACAUAAAGCACUCAGUGUCUGGCACACAGUAGGUGCUCAGGACAUUCGUGAUGGUGGCGAACGCCUUCAUGCCCAGCGGGGGGCAGGCAUGUGUCAACCUCACCACAGCCAUAUGAGGUGGGUACUCUGCUCCAUCUUACCGUUGGGGAGGUUGAGGCAUGAAGGCCGCCCAAGUGUCUGAGGGCACAGAGCGGUUCAGUGGCAAGGCUGGGGCUGGAACCUGCCGCUCUUAGCCCCCAGGCUCCUCCAAUUCUUUGUGCCCGGGUCACAGGAUGCUACAGGCAUGGUGUGACAGUGCAGGGCACCCCGCACUGGGGUAAGGUAGGCAGAACUCAGGCCAGCUCUGCCGUAAACUCUGUCGUCUUGAACACCUGGCCCUCCUGGACCUUCAUUUUUCUUACCCGAAAGCUAAGUGUUGCUUGGAAAAGAGUGGUAGAAACUGAGCUAAAUGACCUUAGAAUUCUGUGGCUUGAAGCUUACUUUUUCACUUUAAGUGAUUUAUCAAGUUUUUAUAAUUCUUUACCUUUACACUUUUGUUUUAACUGAUUUGAAGUCCUCUUUGGGUGUGGCCAGGAGCACAAACCCCAGCUGUCACCAUGUGCUAACAGGACAGGAAAUGUUUCCAGGUCAUUAGGGAGCGGCAAGAGAAAACACCCCAAUUGGGGCUGGCUGGGCACUAGGUGGCAGCACCGGCUUCUGACUGUGUCUGGUCCAGCGGAGGAGCAGGUGCUCUGUCCUGUCCUCAAGAUUCUAGGUUCUCCUCUACUUGUACUGAUAAAGUUUUCACCUGGGGGGGCCUUCCAGUCAAAAAACGAAGCUUGCGUACCGAGUCCUGUGCUGAAGGACACAGGGUUAGCCGUAGCUCACAGGUCAACAACACGUAGAGAUGGACAAACUACGGUCCACAGCUAAGAAUGGUUUUUACAUCUUUAAAUGGUUGAAAAGAAUACGUUUUCAUGACGCAUAAAAAAAUUAUAUGAAAUUCACAUUUCAGUGUGCACAAAUAAAGUUUCUUGGAACACG